rnacentral:lncRNA from 1 species
GGUUCAGGGAUCAGAGUCAGGUUCAGGGUUCAGGGAUCAGAGUCAGAUUCAGGGUUCAGUAGACGUGGACGCUGAGUGCGGCUGAGUGCGCCGAGGGACAUGGGCGCUGAGUGCGGCUGAGUGCGCCGAGGGAUGUGGCAGGUGCAGCGUUCAUGUAGCAAGUGCGGAUUUCCAUCAGUCAGGUUCAGGGUUCAGGGAUCAGAGUCAGGUUCAGUAGACGUGGACGCUGAGUGCGGCUGAGUGCGCCGAGGGAUGUGGCAGGUGCAGCGUUCAUGUAGCAAGUGCGGAUUUCCAUCAGUCAGGUUCAGGGUUCAGGGAUCAGAGUCAGGUUCAGGGUUCAGGGAUCAGAGUCAGGUUCAGGGUUCAGGGAUCAGAGUCAGGUUCAGGGUUCAGGGAUCAGAGUCAGG